rnacentral:rRNA from 1 species
CGGGACGGGUGAGUAAUGUCUGGGAAACUGCCUGAUGAGGGGGGAUAACUACUGGAAACGGUAGCUAAUACCGCAUAACGUCGCAAGACCAAAGAGGGGGACCUUCGGGCCUCUUGCCAUCGGAUGUGCCCAGAUGGGAUUAGCUAGUAGGUGGGGUAACGGCUCACCUAGGCGACGAUCCCUAGCUGGUCUGAGAGGAUGACCAGCCACACUGGAACUGAGACACGGCCAG